rnacentral:rRNA from 1 species
GACGAACGCUGGCGGCGUGCCUAAUACAUGCAAGUCGAACGCAGUGGGGACGGGUGAGUAACACGUGGGUAACCUCCCAUCAGAGGGGAUAACACUUGGAAACAGGUGCUAAACCGAUACUGAUGGAUGGACCCGCGGUGCAUUAGCUAGUUGGUGAGGUAACGGCUCACCAAGGCCACGAUGCAUAGCCGACCUGAGAGGAGGAUGGGCCACACUGGGAAUGAGAAACGGCCCAGACUCCUAGGGGAGACAGCAGUAGGGAAUAGUCAGCAAUUGACGAAAGGCUGACCGAGACACGCCGCGUGAGUGAAGAAGGUUGUCAGAUCGUAAAACUCUGUUGUUAGAUAAGCGGUAUCUAACCAGAAAGCCACGGCUAACUACGUGCCAGCCGCCGCGGUAAUUC